rnacentral:tRNA from 1 species
GGAGCAGUAGCUUAGUUGGUUAAAGCGUAAGAUUGCAAAUCUUAAGACCACCGGUUCAAAUCCGGUUUGCUCCU